rnacentral:rRNA from 1 species
AUUGAACGCUGGCGGCAGGCCUAACACAUGCAAGUCGAACGAGUGGCGGACGGGUGAGUAAUGUAUGGGGAACUGCCCGAUAGAGGGGGAUAACUACUGGAAACGGUAGCUAAUACCGCAUACCAUCGGAUGUGCCCAUAUGGGAUUAGCUUGUAGGUGAGGUAACGGCUCACCUAGGCGACGAUCCCUAGCUGGUCUGAGAGGAUGACCAGCCACACUGGGACUGAGACACGGCCCAGACUCCUACGGGAGGCAGCAGUGGGGAAUAUUGCACAAUGGGCGCAAGCCUGAUGCAGCCAUGCCGCGUGUAUGAAGAAGGCCUUAGGGUUGUAAAGUACUUUCAGCCGGGAGGCGUUACCCGCAGAAGAAGCACCGGCUAACUCCGUGCCAGCAGCCGCGGUAAUUC